GUAGGUGGCAAGCGUUGUCCGGAAUUAUUGGGCGUAAAGCGCGCGCAGGCGGUUCUUUAAGUCUGAUGUGAAAGCCCACGGCUCAACCGUGGAGGGUCAUUGGAAACUGGAGAACUUGAGUACAGAAGAGGAAAGCGGAAUUCCACGUGUAGCGGUGAAAUGCGUAGAGAUGUGGAGGAACACCAGUGGCGAAGGCGGCUUUCUGGUCUGUAACUGACGCUGAGGCGCGAAAGCGUGGGGGAGCAAACAGGAUUAGAUACCCUGGUAGUCCACGCCGUAAACGAUGAGUGCUAAGUGUUAGGGGGUUUCCGCCCCUUAGUGCUGCAGCUAAUGCAUUAAGCACUCCCGCCUGGGGAGUACGGCCGCAAGGCUG
rnacentral:rRNA from 1 species